rnacentral:rRNA from 1 species
UACCAGCUCUCCGAGUGGUGUGGAUGUUUAUUGGGCCUAAAGCAUCCGUAGCUGGCCAAGUUAGUCCCCUGUUAAAUCCACCGAAUUAAUCGUUGGAAUGCGGAGGAUACUGCUCGGCUAGGGGACGAGAGAGGCCGACGGUAUUUUCGGGGUAGGGGUGAAAUCCUAUAAUCCCGGGAAGACCACCAGUGGCGAAGGCUGUCGGCUAGAACGUGCUCGACGGUGAGGGAUGAAAGCUGGGGGAGCGAACCGGAUUAGAUACCCGGGUAGUCCCAGCUGUAAACGAUGCAGGCUAGGUGUUUGGGCGGCCACGUGCCGCUCUAGUGCCGCAGGGAAGCUGUUAAGCCUGCCGCCUGGGGAUACGGCCGCAAGGCUAGAAACUUAAGGAAUUGGGCGGGGGAGCACCACGAAGGGGUGAAGCUUGCGGUUU